rnacentral:rRNA from 1 species
UACGUAGGGGACUAGCGUUGUUCGGAAUUACUGGGCGUAAAGCGCGCGUAGGCGGCUUUGCAAGUUAGGUGUGAAAUCCCGGGGCUCAACCUCGGAACUGCCUUUGAUACUGCAAAUCUCGAGUCCGGAAGAGGUGAGUGGAAUUCCUAGUGUAGAGGUGAAAUUCGUAGAUAUUAGGAAGAACACCAGUGGCGAAGGCGGCUCACUGGCCCGGUACUGACGCUGAGGCGCGAAAGCGUGGGGAGCAAACAGG